CCAAACACCCAUUAAGGAUGUCUGGUCGUACAGGAAAGGGCAGGGGCGACUCCCCACUCUUCAAAACCCUAGAACUUCACUAAUCUUGCAAAUUGAAGGUCCAAUUCAGUCCAAAAUCGAAAUUUAAGCAUGGAUUAUUGAUCCUCAUCACAAGAGGAUUAAAAGUUUGAUCUCGUCAAGCUAAGUGGGAGCUGGAAAGGAAUGGAUCAAACGGAUCAUGGAUGCGAAGAAUGUUUGCGCGGACGCGAGGGUAAAACGGCUUAUGGAAUUUACGUGGCUAUGAAUCAGCAAAUUAUUAAGGCAAGGUAUUAAAACGGGUCAAUACUUUGACCCGCGCCAGGUACGCGUAAAUUUGGUGAAAGAUAUGUGAAUACCUUAAUGUAGAAAAAUGACAUGUGAAAGUAGAGAGUAGGAUUUAAACUUAAAUGAUUAAAUCCUCUCUAACGGGUCAAAAUAAGAACUUGAACGUAAAUGGGUUCUAACUAAGUAAGAAACCCAUGAUUUAUGAUUUAUUUGAUAGGAAAUAUUGAAAUUAUGAUUUUCAUGAGUUUAUAGAGCAAGUAAACAUGUUUGUUUGAUAAAAUCGCGAACGGGUUAAAAUUUGGUAAAAAUGGUAUUAAGCCGAAGACUUAAAAGUCUUAAAUUUUGUUAAUUCGGAUGUUGGAUUUUGACCCCAUACUAUGAAGGGUCAAAUUACAAUCAUGUAGGAAGAAACGGUGGGUCAAACGGAUAAGCGGUUUGAAAGAUACGAAAGUUUUCGUGCCAAUAAACGGCAAAAUAGGAAAGCUGGAAUGCAGGGGCCACCGUAACUUACGGUGACACCGUAAGUUACGGUGGAGUUGAAGGCUUUACGGCAGCCCCCUACUGAUUUACGGUAGGGGCAUGUCACACCAGGGGCCACCGUAACUUACGGUGCCACCGUAAGUUACGGUGGAGGCCAGUUGGGAAAUCCAUGUUUUGAGAUCAAGAGUUUAACGUUGGGAAUUCUUUUUCCUUCCAUUAUCAUUACCGGAUUUGUUUAGAUUUAUUUCAAUCCCCGUAUGACUAAAGCAUUUCAUGUUUAUGAAAUGUAGGUUCAUUUUGGAUGCCGAGAGACGAUCAAGCUCAUCGAAGAACCGAACACGAUAUAGUUACAUGCUUCCGCACUUUGCCACGUUGUAUAUUUUAAACAACGAAUUCGAUCACGUUUUGUAGAAUAACUUAUGAAUUGUAAAAGUUUUAAUUUA